rnacentral:rRNA from 1 species
AGAGUUUGAUCAUGGCUCAGAUUGAACGCUGGCGGCAGGCCUAACACAUGCAAGUCGAGCGGUAGCACAAGAGAGCUUGCUCUCUGGGUGACGAGCGGCGGACGGGUGAGUAAUGUCUGGGAAACUGCCUGAUGGAGGGGGAUAACUACUGGAAACGGUAGCUAAUACCGCAUAACGUCUUCGGACCAAAGUGGGGGACCUUCGGGCCUCACGCCAUCAGAUGUGCCCAGAUGGGAUUAGCUAGUAGGUGGGGUAAUGGCUCACCUAGGCGACGAUCCCUAGCUGGUCUGAGAGGAUGACCAGCCACACUGGAACUGAGACACGGUCCAGACUCCUACGGGAGGCAGCAGUGGGGAAUAUUGCACAAUGGGCGCAAGCCUGAUGCAGCCAUGCCGCGUGUGUGAAGAAGGCCUUCGGGUUGUAAAGCACUUUCAGCGAGGAGGAAGGGUAGUGUGUUAAUAGCACACUGCAUUGACGUUACUCGCAGAAGAAGCACCGGCUAACUCCGUGCCAGCAGCCGCGGUAAUACGGAGGGUGCAAGCGUUAAUCGGAAUUACUGGGCGUAAAGCGCACGCAGGCGGUUUGUUAAGUCAGAUGUGAAAUCCCCGCGCUUAACGUGGGAACUGCAUUUGAAACUGGCAAGCUAGAGUCUUGUAGAGGGGGGUAGAAUUCCAGGUGUAGCGGUGAAAUGCGUAGAGAUCUGGAGGAAUACCGGUGGCGAAGGCGGUCCCCUGGACAAAGACUGACGCUCAGGUGCGAAAGCGUGGGGAGCAAACAGGAUUAGAUACCCCGGUAGUCCAA